rnacentral:misc_RNA from 1 species
UAGAUUGCAUUUGGUGCAGGGUUAAAGAAUUGAGUAAAAAAAUUACAUUAGUAAAAUUAAGGGGGUAAAGGAAUUUGGUAAAAGAUUAGAGCAGUAAAAUUUAAGCGUGUUUAGUAUGGAGUAAAACAAUAUGUAUUUUGAUAAUAUUAAUAAAGGCGGGAACUCAUCUUAAGACAAUUAAUUAAUGAAUAGAGAUGAAAUAAGAAA